rnacentral:rRNA from 1 species
UCGAAUGAGGCAAGAUUACCCGCUGAACUUAAGCAUAUCACUAAGCGGAGGAGAAGAAACUAACCAGGAUGCCCCUAGUAAUGGCGAAUGAAGCGGGCAUAGCUCACGCUGCCAAUCUGGAGGCCCCGCGCCCCCCGAAUUGUGGUCUAGAAAGGCGCCAUCGGCCGUUCGCGUCGCUCAAAUCCCUUGGAACAGGGUAUCGGAGAAGGUGAGAAUCCUGUGCCGUGGCGUGGAGCGGCCGCACGAUGCGUCCUUGUCGAGUCGGGUUGCUUGGGAUUGCAGCUUGAAGUGGGUGGUAAAUUCCAUCUAAAGCUAAAUACUGGCGAGAGACCGAUAGCGAACAAGUACCGUGAGGGAAAGAUGCAAAGAACUUUGAAAAGAGAGUCAAAGAGUGCUUGAAAUUGGCAGGAGGAAACCCGGUUGCGCCCCGCGUCGCCUGGCCGACUCAGCCUCCAGCCUGCCUUUCUGGCGACCGCAAGGCGCCUUUGGUGAGGGUGGGGGUGCACUUUGGCCGGGCGGGUCAGCCGCCGCUGCGUUGGCGAGAGAUGCCUCGCGCCGAGACUCCGGUGACGCGCGAGGAGCGUCGCGAUCGCGGCGUCGGCUGACGGAAGGGGCGCCACCGACCCGUCUAGAAACACGGACCAAGGAGUCUGACACGUGUGCGAGUACCCGGGUGGCAAGCCCGCGUGCGGAAUGAAAGUGAAGGGCAUGCCCUGCCAACCGACCUUGAUCUUCUGUGAAGGGUUUGAGUGGAGCACAUGUGUCGGGACCCGAAAGAUGGUGAACUAUGCCUGAGGAGGGUGAAGCCAGAGGAAACUCUGGUGGAGGCUCGUAGCGAUACUGACGUGCAAAUCGUUCGUCGAACUUGGGUAUAGGGGCGAAAGACUAAUCGAACCAUCUAGUAGCUGGUUCCCUCCGAAGUUUCCCACAGGAUAGCUUGAGCGCCUUGAUCGGUUUUGUCAGGUAAAGCGAAUGAUUAGAGGCCUUGGGGCUGAAACAGCCUUAACCUAUUCUCAAACUUUAAAUGGGCAAGAGGCGCGGGAUGCUUCGUUGAUCCCGCGCGGCGAACGGCGCGCUCAAAGUGGGCCAUUUUUGGUAAGCAGAACUGGCGAUGCGGGAUGAACCGAACGCCGCGCUAAGGUACCCAAGUGUCCGCUCAUCAGAGACCACAAAAGGCGUUGGUACCUCCAGACAGCAGGACGGUGGCCAUGGAAGUCGGAACCCGCUAAGGAGUGUGUAACAACUCACCUGCCGAAGGUACUAGCCCUGAAAAUGGAUGGCGCUCAAGCGGACCACCGAUGCGCGGCCGCCGGCGCGAGCGCGAGGCGCCGGCGAGUAGGAGGGCGCGGGGGUCGCGGCGCAGCCUUGGGCGUGAGCCUGGGUGAAGCGUCCUCCGGUGCAGAUCUUGGUGGUAGUAGCAAAUAUUCAAAUGGGAACUUUGAAGACUGAAGUGGAGAAAGGUUCCGUGUGAACAGCAGUUGGACACGGGUGAGCCGACCCUAAGAGACAGGAGAACUCCGCCGAACGCGGCCGCUUCCGUCGGCCCGUCCGUCGAAAGGGAAUCGGGUUAACAUUCCCGAGCCAGCGCGUGGAUGGUGGGCGGCGACGCGAACGAACCCGGAGACGCCGGCGGGAGCCCUGGGAAGAGUUCUCUUUUCUUCUUGACUGCCCAGUUCGCCCUGGAAUCGGUUUAGCCGGCGCGAGGGCCACGCGGCAGGCAAAGCACCUUACGUCUUGAGGUGUCCGGCGCGCUCCCGACGGCCCGUGAAAAUCCGGGGGAGCGGUUCGUUCUCACGCCUGGUCGUACUCAUAACCGCAUCAGGUCUCCAAGGUGAGCAGCCUCUAGUCGAUAGAGCAAUGUAGGUAAGGGAAGUCGGCAAAAUGGUUCCGCAACCUCGGGAGAAGGAAUGGCUCUGAAGGCUGGGUGCAGGGGUCCUCGGUCCGAGGCGCGCUG